UGAGCUUUCAGCCGCUGUCUGGCCCGGUAGUGAAGCGGUCCUGGGAAAUAGUCAAAGGGUUAUGGUGCCUUUCUGCCGUACCUGUCGAAUUUCCAUACGAAUCGUCGUUAUCAAUGAUGUGGAAGGUGUAAUCCGCCCAAGGUGGAAUCUAUUCCGAAGUAGAGGAACUGAAUCACUCGGAACUGGGAUCGAACCGACUCCUCUCUGUUCACUAUGAAUCCCAACAAUUCCAGAAACGGUAAACAUAAAUCUCGUUUGUAAACGUAGUCAGGAAUUGGAUUUGCAAAAGGUCAGUAAGUAGUCUAGGUAUGCGACAGCGGAUACCCUUUGCUCUUCAGUGCGCCGUGACCGGCUUCAGAAACUUCAUGAGGCACCAUGUGAACCAGUAGGUAAGUGCCCUUCCAAUCCAACCUUGUGAACCCCUUUUGAAGAGUAGAUCCCCUAAGAGAUGGAUACCUUCCAAAGUAUAGAAUUUUUUCUAGGGGCUGAUCAUGUCCAGUAUUUCAUCCUGACUUGUUUUGAGUCCUUCUCCUACACCUUUACAUGGACCCUGGCCUGAUCGGGACAUAAAUAUCACCACAGUGAUACCGAGCUCCAUGGUGAGGACUAUCUUGUUCGGUCAUAGAGGGCGUGGGCAUUCCACCCUGAGCUUGUUUUCCUAUUGUUUUCCCAUAGGCCUCCUGAACCAGAAGUGGUCAAAGUGUGCCCGGUGCUCCGGUAAACCCCAUUCGGAUGACCCUGGGUGUCGGAUGGUGCGUUAGUCAAAACAAGAGUGUCCAGUGUGCCAAAGAAAAACCUUUCUUGCUAGGCGGGUCUUGUCACUUUACCUCUUCAGAUGGAGACUCUUCUACUCUCCAUUCUUUCAUGAUCUCCAGAGAAGGGGGAGGGAUGAAGUCCUCGUCCCCUGAUGAUGGAGCCUGAGCUGAUUAAUGGACAGGACGUUCUGAGAGACGGCUCCGCUAAGUCGGGGUGUUCACUUUCCCCUUUGGAGAAGCCGCGUUGGAGCCCUUCCAAUGGUGUUUAGAUGAUAAGGUACCUAACGUUGUUGGUAUCUCUAGCUUCCAUUGGUGUUGGUGCCGUUGAGGGAAGUCCGACAUGUUGGUUCACACCCGAGACAGGAUCGUACAACAAUACACUUAUUGCCACUCAGUGGGCCUCCUCGUAUAACUGGGGUCACCCAGAAUUUCGAUCAAUCAGUACCACUUUUGCAGGAUCCGGGGAGUGGUCUGACAAUGAGGACACCCCCAGUAAGACCGGGAUGAGCCGUCUGCAAUGUCGGGACGUAGCCCGAGUAUGGGAGACGUGAAAGCCUCAAUAUGUAUAAUCCAAGGGGUUCAUCCUUAUAUGGCCUAGAAUUGUGGAGUUUUGGCAGCACUGUGAGUUCUCCUUCAUGGUUAAGGGAAGGGCGUACGGAUCCCCCAGUUGAAGCAUAGAGGUGACGAAAUACAUGUAUCUAGUGCGCCUUAAUCUGUGUAUACAAUGACAGAGCGUACUCUGAAGGUAGAAGCCCUAGAAAGGGUGCGGGGGGUCACCCCGUCCGGCAG